GGGGUGAAUAGCGUUUUAUAAAAAUUCGCAGGAAUAAAAAAUAACUCAAAUGCGUAAAUAAAAGGGUAAGGAAGAAGUGCACCAAAUUUAUACUGGUUGGCCACAAAUGUGGUUAUAUCCAGUCUCCCGAGAUACAAUCUCGAGGUUCAACUAAUCCUGUUGAGCUUCCGGGUGCUCAACAAACCGUUACAACUUGAGAACUUGAGUCACACAAGCCUC
rnacentral:lncRNA from 1 species